CGUGCUAAUUGAUUCCAACUUACCCGAGAAUAUCGCGAUAGUUUGUGAGAUUUUGUUUCAGGAAGUUAUUAGAGAACCGUUUGGAGAUGAACCGCGAAUGUGUUGAACGUUGAUGGAGCUUCAGACUGAAUGAAGACAGAAGGUUGUGCUGGACAGUUGAAACCAUUCAUGAAAGACAUCAGUACUGAGUCCUGCUCCACAGCCUACUAACCAGUGCAGCGGCCAGGGUCAGUCAGGCUUGGUCACUUUACUGCAAAGGACAUCUAGUGGUUACACACCCAACUAACUCACUCCAUUCUCACUGCCUCCUGCCUGCCUGCAAUCUGCACUGCCUCACAGCUGUAAUUG